rnacentral:rRNA from 1 species
CCAAGGAGUCUAACAUGUGCGCGAGUCAUGGGGUCGUAAGAAACCUAAAGGCGCAAUGAAAGUGAAGGCAGCCUCGGGUUUGCCCAGGUAUGAUCCUGUUCUGCUGGGAUGGGCGCACUACCGGCCCGUCUCGUCCGCUUCGCGGGGAGGCGGAGCAAGAGCGCACACGUUGGGACCCGAAAGAUGGUGAACUAUGCCUGAGCAGGACGAAGCCAGAGGAAACUCUGGUGGAAGUCCGUAGCGAUUCUGACGUGCAAAUCGAUCGUCGAACUUGGGUAUAGGGGCGAAAGACUAAUCGAACCAUCUA